GUUGUGGCUCAGCGGCAGAGCACUCGCCUCACAUGUGUGAGGCCCUGGGUUCUAUCCUCAGCAUCACA
rnacentral:tRNA from 1 species